AUGAACGCUGGCGGCGUGCCUAAUACAUGCAAGUCGAGCGAACAGACGAGGAGCUUGCUCCUCUGACGUUAGCGGCGGACGGGUGAGUAACACGUGGAUAACCUACCUAUAAGACUGGGAUAACUUCGGGAAACCGGAGCUAAUACCGGAUAAUAUAUUGAACCGCAUGGUUCAAUAGUGAAAGACGGUUUUGCUGUCACUUAUAGAUGGAUCCGCGCCGCAUUAGCUAGUUGGUAAGGUAACGGCUUACCAAGGCAACGAUGCGUAGCCGACCUGAGAGGGGUAGCGGGCCUACGGGAACGAGCAGCCGGACCGGGACUGUACGGGAGGCAGCAGUAGUGAGUCAGCCAGAAGUGGCGAAUGCUGCACGGUGCACGGACGCGUGAGGGAGCAAGGUCGUGUGAGGGUAAACCGCUUUUAUUUGGUAAAAACAAUUGGGUAGGUAACUAGGGUGGUCUUGACGGAUCGGAAUAAGAAAGCCACGGCAAACCACG
rnacentral:rRNA from 1 species